AUCCAAGUGCACGGGCUUUACGCGUAUCAGUGAGGAUUCGUCCGAGAUCGUGUUUUUGCUAGUUGAAAACUAUCAACUGACUGCUUCAUUUGGCGCAAGUCGAAUGGGAAUUUUUGUAACCAUACAAG
rnacentral:snRNA from 1 species